AAAAAGGGCUUGACACAUCCCGAACCGAUCUCCAUAAUUCGCCUUCUCUUGGCGAAUUAGCUCAGUCGGUUAGAGCGACGGAAUCAUAAUCCGCAGGUCCGGGGUUCGAGUCCCUGAUUCGCCACCAA
rnacentral:tRNA from 1 species